rnacentral:rRNA from 1 species
AUACGCAGCUACACAUGCAGUCGAACGGUAACAGGGAAAAGCUUGCUUUUCCGCUGACGAGUGGCGCACGGGUGCGUAACGCGUAUGGAACCUACCCUUUACAGGGGGAUAGCCCGGAGAAAUCCGGAUUAAUACCCCGUAGUAUUAUGAUACGGCAUCGUAUUAUAAUUAAAGUUUCGGCGGUAGAGGAUGGCCAUGCGUCCUAUUAGUUAGAUGGUGAGGUAACGGCUCACCAUGGCAUCGAUAGGUAGGGGCCCUGAGAGGGGGAUCCCCCACACUGGUACUGAGACACGGACCAGACUCCUACGGGAGGCAGCAGUGAGGAAUAUUGGACAAUGGUCGAGAGACUGAUCCAGCCAUGCCGCGUGCAGGAAGACGGCCCUACGGGUUGUAAACUGCUUUUGUACGGGAAGAAUAAUGCCCACGUGUGGGCAGAUGACGGUACCGUACGAAUAAGGACCGGCUAACUCCGUGCCAGCAGCCGCGGUAAUACGGAGGGUCCGAGCGUUAUCCGGAAUCAUUGGGUUUAAAGGGUCCGCAGGCGGAUCAGUAAGUCAGAGGUGAAAGUUUGCAGCUCAACUGUAAAAUUGCCUUUGAUACUGCUGGUCUUGAGUUACGAUGAAGUGGCUGGAAUAUGUGGUGUAGCGGUGAAAUGCAUAGAUAUCACAUAGAACACCGAUUGCGAAGGCAGGUCACUAAUCGCCAACUGACGCUGAUGGACGAAAGCGUGGGGAGCGAACGGGAUUAGAUACCCCGGUAGUCCACGCCGUAAACGAUGGACACUAGCUGUUGGGCCUCU